CCCAAUUCCGCACUCUGGGCACUGUGACUUGGUUCAGAGGGCCACAGUACCACUCUUCUGUCAUGAAAGCGGGGCGGCCAAGCCAAAUCUCAGUAGUGCUGUAACCUAUCAUGCCAGGCCAUGUCUGGAGUGGGGAAUCAGGCUCAGCCCCACAGGAAAGGAGCCGCAGCUUUAGGGCAAAGCUUAAAAAACUGUACAACUGGUCUGGUAACAACAGGGAGGCUGAUCCCAUGUAGAAUGGCUAGGAUAGCAAGUGGAAUCGUGCAAUGCCAGUGUCCAACUGAAAAGGAACACUUCUCAUGGAAAGCAGCAACCAAGACUGGGCCUGGCCUUCAGAGCAGGAUUCUUGGAGAUUUCACUUUACUGCCUGCAUACAAGAACAGAGCAGAGCAGGGAAGAGCGUUACUGUAGUUGCAUACCUUGAAGUUGUCAGCAGACCGCCAAAUGUAACUCUGAAGGGAGGUCGGAUUUUUGGCCUAUCAACCUUGACAAUGACAAUUUCUGGAGACAGAAAAGCACAGAAGAAAUACGGAAGGGAAGACCGGAAUUCACUUGCACAAUAUUAGUUGCGACAGUUUACACUAUAUUUCAUAUACUUAUUCUUGUAUUCUUAAAACAGAUUCCUGUGAGAACUUAU